GUCAAAGAUAAAUUAUGAAAUUCUGAUUGCUAAAUAAAGACAGAUCUAAAAAUUUUACAUUGGCCAAUAACCCGACAGAAUUAAGUUGACAGCACACGUCAAACGUGUUGCAUACCAGCGAGAUACCUUUUUAAUUAGCCCGGGUUAUUCAUUCAUUUACUCAUUCUUCCUAAAAUUAAGAGCUGUCAACAAAGACCUUGUGUAGAAUAGACAGAUAAUAUUUUAGAGUGACGAUCAAACUAUCACAGCUCUCUUUCUUCCCUAUGGCAACAAUCUCUGUGAAAAAAAGAAACAAACAUAGACAAACACCGCUGUCUAGAACGUCAGUGUUGACCGUUUUGAGAUGUUGUGGUAGCCAGCUGGAUACCAAACCUGCCGUUAGUUUUUUGGUGUUUUGGGACGUUAUUUUAACUUUUUAUAUAAAAAAUCUGUGAAAUAGUUAUUCAUUAUGAACCAUGGCUUGCGAAGCUAUUGGUUGUGAGAGUAGAAUGGGUGUUAUAAUGGAGAACGAUCCAAUUAUGUCUCACCAUGGGUAAGUUAACGACCACAUAAUACAUGUUUGUGUGCAAGAAAUACAUUACCUGGUCUGGUUUUUGUAAAGUUUAUUGAGCCCUAAACACGAUGCAGACGCAUAUUUUCAGCAAAGCCGUCACAUUUGUACAAAUAAUUGAUUUCACAUUUUACGUUAAUCAGCUUUGACAGAUCAUGUACCCAAAGUAUUAUAAGUAGUGUUGUCCUUUGAUGUCGAUAACAUAAUAUUAUGUUUGAAUGUAACAUCUACAUGUUGUGUUAUUCUAUUCACGUUUAAUUUAUUUUUCGACCUGUUUCCGAUUUGGAUGAAUAUUACAUAAAGAUAUUGUAUUUUCCAGAUUUCCUAAAUAUCCUAAUUUACGAAACAAGAAAUUAAGAAACAAUUAGAUUCAGACCAUGAAACGAGAUGAUUCUCUCUUCUGAAGGACGCCUUCUCCUUAUUUGAGCCUGUGCUAAUUACAUUUCGAUGUAUCUUGCUUUCUAUCGAGCAGGAUACCAAACAAAAAUAUUACAUAAAGAUGCAGUACCAACAAUAUUCACUCACAUAUCUCACAUAAGGUAAAGUUAUAACGACCAGAGCCGACACUACACUUCUAAAGAAAGUGAACAAGAGGAAAUAUUUUUUUUUAUCACCAAAAGUCGGAAUUGUUCAGUGCUUCGUGGUCAUUGUAUUCUAACUAUAUUGAAUAAAAAUCUUAUAAAGAAGUA
rnacentral:lncRNA from 1 species